AUUGAACGCUGGCGGCAUGCUUUACACAUGCAAGUCGAACGGUAACAGGCCGCAAGGUGCUGACGAGUGGCGAACGGGUGAGUAAUGCAUCGGAACGUGCCCAGUCGUGGGGGAUAACGCAGCGAAAGCUGCGCUAAUACCGCAUACGAUCUAUGGAUGAAAGCGGGGGACCGUAAGGCCUCGCGCGAUUGGAGCGGCCGAUGUCAGAUUAGGUAGUUGGUGGGGUAAAGGCUCACCAAGCCAACGAUCUGUAGCUGGUCUGAGAGGACGACCAGCCACACUGGGACUGAGACACGGCCCAGACUCCUACGGGAGGCAGCAGUGGGGAAUUUUGGACAAUGGGCGAAAGCCUGAUCCAGCCAUGCCGCGUGCAGGAUGAAGGCCUUCGGGUUGUAAACUGCUUUUGUACGGAACGAAAAGACUCUUUCUAAUAAAGAGGGUCCAUGACGGUACCGUAAGAAUAAGCACCGGCUAACUACGUGCCAGCCGCCGCCGUAACAC
rnacentral:rRNA from 1 species